UAACGGAGCGGUGUUCGUCGAUUUAUGUAAAUACAUUACAGAUCGUCGCAUCGUUCACAUUUCACCGCAUUUAAUACCGUGCGCGGUACGUGGUCGUUAAAAAAUUUAGUGCGUGCGUUUGCUCUCUCUCGCACUGUAAUCCAAUACGGUGCAGCACUGUUGAAUGUUUGCUGUUAUCGACUACAAACGAAACUAUGUGAUAGAAAUUCUAUGCCCAUUAAAUUGUCUGUUGUCGGAGCAUGUUUACGCGAUUUGUUUUGUACGCGUAAUUGAAUUGUUUUACAAAAUUUGUAAAGUCACCACCGUUCGAACGAUGGUGCAACAAGGUUAUUUGCACAGAGUGCAGCAAAUCGUGCGUGCGCCACCUGAAGUUGUCGGCGUGCUUUGCGCAAUGUCCAGCAAUGUCCAAGUGAAAAUUUUCGAUACGUGAAUACAUAGUGCUUCGAAGAAGUUGACCGAUCGAAACUUCCAAACGCAUUAUGAAUCGAUCACUUAAAAAAGUAUGUACAUGUAAUUACCUUUAACCGUCUGUGCUCGUCCCUGGUACGUUGAAACACAAGGCCUUCGUCAUAAAUUACAUCGAUUUCGCCGGCUGGUUAUUUCGCACUUCUACUUCAUAUUCUCCAUAGUCUUCGAAACAUAUUAUAAUUUCGAAUCCGUAUUGGUAACCGUAAGCUAAUAUUUCACGAUACACGCUACCAAUGCACUAUUUAUACGUAACAACUAUAUUUUAGAAGCUCGUUUCACGACUUAAUGUUGAGAUAACAAUACUCACAGGGAAAGAAAAGUUUCAAGCAUACCGCACAACACGAGAACUACGCGAAUCAAGCCACGUGAAUCUGAAUAGAUUACUCUUUGUAAACGCGAUUUAUCGAUUUUUCGAUAUAAUCUCGAAUUCCUCUACGAUCUUGAAUAGAUUUAUCGUAAAAUGCGCGAUCCUGCAGUUUUCAUUUCAGCAUUUAAAGGCGAGAGGAUUCGAAUGAGGAGGUAUUAAUUAAAACAUACGUACACGCGCGUGUAUUAUUCCAGCGUAAAUGGUACUUGCCGUUUUUAUCACAAAAUUCAUUGGAAAUUUCGGCAAGAAUCAUUAGAGCUCGAACUGGUAGAGUAUCAAUGUUCCAAGAUUUCGCCGAAGAUGACGCCACUCUAUCGUUCUACUAAAAAAUUACUCCGUCGGUCACAUUGUCCAACAGUUUGAGCAUGUCGCCGCUACGUUCAAUGGCUAUACCGACGUAGAUGAAAUUGACGCUAUUUUCAAAACGGUAAGAAUUAGCUGUUGCGUAGUUUGUAAAUUGUAUUCCACUAAUUAAUGCGAAUAAUUAAGAAACGGUAGCCGAAUCGUUAAAAUUGUAUUUGAUAAAUUAUUUAUUUCUAGUUCCUUAGUAUUUAUAACCUUCAUUUUCUAUUUGUUAAUACUCGUGCAUCAUCCGAUACUACUUUUCAUCGAAUGAUUUCUCAACUAGUCUAUUCUUUUGCUAGAAGGUCGCAUCCCAAUCGGCAAAGUCGUUUGGCGCUGCUGCAUGAUCCGGCGGGUAUCUGUCGAAGUUUCUAACAUCGAGAUGACCUUUUAUCUGUGAGCAAUUAAUAUUAUAAAUUUACAGGAAUCAACCGACAUAACCGAGAAAGGCGGGUUAACCGUUAUCGCGGGUAAGCUAUUUCGGUAUAAUUUCCGUCUUCGGGAACAAUUUUGUACGAUGCGUAUUACGCGAUCAGAAUAACGCGAUUAUUGUAAUACGCGUGUAGAAUCGAUCGAGGUAGAAUCGAGGUAGAAAUAUGAAACAGAGACGAGUGUAAGUCUCGAAUUGCUUGCUUACCGUUGGCACGAUAGGCGACGGUAUAUUACGUUGCUGGAAAUCUUGCCAUUUGAAAUUGUGGAACCAUCUGAAACAUUCUCGAGUUACCGAUAAAUAACUGAAAGCUUUUCGAACCCGUGCUUACCUCUGACCACGAAUAUCAUCGACGCCGUUUCGCAGACAUCCGAGUCGUUUGGUAGGAUCCUCUUGCAGAAGAGCCACGAUGAACGAUUUCGUCGCAGAUUUUAUAGCAGGCGGCAGAAGCGAUUCUUUGAAACCUAAAAGAAUAUUGUUGUACGUUUCCAAAUCGUUGAUGCUCUGGAACGGUGUCCGAUUUAGAAGCAACUCGUACGUGACGAUACCCAAUGCCCAGUAAUCGACGGCUCUUGAUUAAGAAAAUACCAAUUAAUGCUAACUAACUGUGAUUCCAUGGUUUCAGGUCACGAGUUUGGAAAGGCUUACCGGCUGUACGCUUUGCUAUGUAUAAUUUCCGGAGCCAAGUAUUCCGGCGUUCCUAUAAAGGUCCCCGUCUUGUAGCCGCCGAUAUAUUUGCUGGCUCCAAGAUCGCACUGCAAGAACCGCUUGAAAAUCAGCAAAACGCUGCCAACGAUCGGUAUCGGUAUCGGUAUCGGUAAAAAAGAAGAAAGGCUCACAAGCUUGGCGUAACCAUGACCGUCGAUCACGACGUUCUCCGGCUUCAAAUCCCUGUAAACGAUGCCCAACGAAUGAAGAUGGUUCAGACCUUCGACGACGCAUGCGACGACGAAUCUCGUUUUCUUAUUAUCGAAACGACCGUUUCUGUACAAGGCUGUCCUUAAAUCUCCACCGAGACACACCUCCAGUAAAAAGUACAGGUAUCUUUUAUCUUUGAAGGUCCUGUGCAAUCUGGAAGAAACGUUCGUCGAGAAAACCUAGCUCUGGAACGUAACGUAUUUUUACUCUUUCCCAAAUCUGUUCCUCACCGGCAAACGAAAGGCGAGUCGCUCAGCCUCAGGUUCAUCUUCUCGUUGUAGACCAUCUUCUGGAAGCCUUCCUUCGUGAUCGUGUGCUUCUUGAUCUUCUUGCGAGCGAAGCUGGUGUCGGGCAUCGAUUUCACGGUUACCAAUUCGACUCGGCUGCAUCCGCCAACCCCGAUGGUCGUGUGAAACAUCAGGUCCGACAAGGUCAAGCUCUUGAAACCGUCGCUCCAGUCGUCGGGUUCCGUGGACUUUUGGUGCCGCAGCCAGUUCUUGUUCUUGAUGGCGUUCAGACCGCCCAGCACUCCACUCCAGGGGACAUCGCGAUCACGUUCGCCUUUCUACAGGACUCUUCUUCGUAGAGAGCUUUCUCGCCGAAAUAGUCACCUUUGUUCAAGAUUGUCAUCUCCUUUUCUAUUCCUCCGGGACUAUUCAUCGUUACCUUAACGCUUCCAGCGUUCACGAUGUAGAACUUGGAGCCGUAGUCAUCUUGUCGUAUCACGUACACGUUCGCAGGAUAGAAUUCCUUGUAAUAAAGCGAAAGCAACGACGA